rnacentral:lncRNA from 1 species
CCAGGUGCUUGGAUACUGAGGUUACACCAAGGAAAAUCUGAAGAUAUUUAUCAAAUAGUUGGGCAUGAAGGAACUGACUCUCAAGCAGACCUAGAAGAUAUCAUUGUUGUAUUAAACAGCUUCAAAAGCAAGAUACUCAAAGUAAAAGUGAAAAAAGAAACAGACAAAAUUAAGGAAGAUAUCCUUACCGAUGAAGAUGAAAAAACAAAAGGACUGUGGGAUUCCAUUAAAAGGUAAUUACUAAUGAAUAUUUUAAUACAUCACUAGAUUGAUCCAGAAGUCUAGUAUGUGGAAGUUCCACAGGUAGUGAAAAUUUAAGUAAGGCAAAGGUCCUCUAAUCUAGGAGGGAUAAGAUAAAUACAUAAAUGUUACUACUGUGUACAAGAUAGGAAACUAGAGCUAUAAGACAGAUGAAAAUAAAAUACUAU